UUCACUACUUGAUGAUCCCGCGUUGUAUUAGCUAGUUGGUAGUGUAAAGGACUACCAAGGCGAUGAUACAUAGCCGACCUGAGAGGGUGAUCGGCCACACUGGGACUGAGACACGGCCCAGACUCCUACGGGAGGCAGCAGUAGGGAAUCUUCGGCAAUGGGGGCAACCCUGACCGAGCAACGCCGCGUGAGUGAAGAAGGUUUUCGGAUCGUAAAACUCUGUUGUUAGAGAAGAACGUUAAGUAGAGUGGAAAAUUACUUAAGUGACGGUAUCUAACCAGAAAGGGACGGCUAACUACGUGCCAGCAGCCGCGGUAAUACGUAGGUCCCAAGCGUUGUCCGGAUUUAUUGGGCGUAAAGCGAGCGCAGGUGGUUUCUUAAGUCUGAUGUAAAAGGCAGUGGCUCAACCAUUGUGUGCAUUGGAAACUGGGAGACUUGAGUGCAGGAGAGGAGAGUGGAAUUCCAUGUGUAGCGGUGAAAUGCGUAGAUAUAUGGAGGAACAC
rnacentral:rRNA from 1 species